rnacentral:rRNA from 1 species
GGGUCUAAUACCGGAUAUGACACACUUCGGCAUCGAAUGUGUGUGGAAAGUUUUUUCGGUUGGGGAUGGGCUCGCGGCCUAUCAGCUUGUUGGUGGGGUAGUGGCCUACCAAGGCGACGACGGGUAGCCGGCCUGAGAGGGCGACCGGCCACACUGGGACUGAGACACGGCCCAGACUCCUACGGGAGGCAGCAGUGGGGAAUAUUGCGCAAUGGGCGGAAGCCUGACGCAGCGACGCCGCGUGGGGGAUGACGGCCUUCGGGUUGUAAACCUCUUUCAGCAGGGACGAAGUUGACGUGUACCUGUAGAAGAAGCGCCGGCUAACUACGUGCCAGCAGCCGCGGUAAUACGUAGGGCGCAAGCGUUGUCCGGAAUUAUUGGGCGUAAAGAGCUCGUAGGUGGCUUGUUGCGUCUGCCGUGAAAGCCCGUGGCUUAACUGCGGGUCUGCGGUGGAUACGGGCAGGCUAGAGGCUGGUAGGGGCAAGCGGAAUUCCUGGUGUAGCGGU